rnacentral:lncRNA from 1 species
UGAAAAUCAUUGAGUGUCUUAUUCAUUGGUGAGAUUGGGAAAAUGGGUAGAAAUUAUGGUUGUUCUUUGUGAACUUGUCAAAGCUAAUUUCUUGUAACCCAUUUGUAUCUCUUUGUAAGAACUCUUUGAUAGUGGAUUGGAGAGAUCAAUCUCUCCCCCAGAUUAGGUCAAGUUGGACCGAACUGGGUCAACAAUCUUUGGUGUGUUUGUUUCUCUCUUCCCUCCCUUUAUCUUGUGCUUGUG